rnacentral:tRNA from 1 species
GGAAAGGUGCAGGAGUGGCUGAACUGGCUCGCCUGGAAAGCGGGUAUACCGCAAGGUAUCAAGGGUUCGAAUCCCUUCCUUUCCG